GCGAUCCUCUCCCAGGGCCAGGCCACCGUUCCUUUCUUUACUAAUCUGUGCAGAUAGGAAGACACAGAGAGGAGGAGAGAUUUGAAAAGGACCUGAACAACUUGCUGCUAUUGACGGAACCAGGAACUCUGCUCUCUACCUGAAUAUUCUUAAAGAAAUUGACUGACUAUCAGUUUGUAACAUGAAGUUCAGACUCACUUGGGUUGUGCAUCAGAGCAAUGGAGAUAGACCAGAGAAGCCAGUUUAAGUGGAGUUGAUGGAAGUCUUCAAAGUAGAUGGAAUUAAACAGACUGCAGGCCCUGGGCCACUACUUUAGAGCCUAUAAUCCAGAUUAAAUCCUGCAUCGUUCAGUUCUUUUUUAACUUUCUAUUCUUUGGGAUAAAAUAUGAUAUUUCAAUUGGAUGUCAUCAUUCGGGGGUAAAGCCAAAUGAUCUUAUUAUGAAAUGCCUUUUAAAAAUGCUGAUUGCUUCAACAGAUGUCAGGAUUGUAAUGUGAACGGCGAUUUAUGUUGAGUUCUUGAGUUGUAUAAUCGUGCUGAAGACCCUGUUAGGGAUUCCUUACAACACAGCAGCACACCAUACAAUUUUUUUUAUAAAGCACUUUAAAGAAACAUCAAAGCUGUCCAAAGUGUUGUGAGGCUCAACAUAAAAGACACCUCCAAGAGAACAUAAAGAGAACAAACACAGAAUAUCUACAAAAGGUAAUGAGAAGAAUAUGAGGCAAGUAAAACCAAAAGAACAAAAGAUAAUAUAAAUAUUGGUCACUGGCAUUUUCUCAGAUUCUUUAGAAGCAGUGAGAGUAAAAGUGUGUUUUUAAUGGAGAUUUAAAUUCAACAAGUCAAUUCAUCUCUUGAGUUUGCAGCUGCUGUGCUGACAUAGUAGGAAUGUGAUCAGAGUCUGCAAAGGGGCCCAACAUUGUUAGGAUAUUUAAAAACAAACAAAAGAUAGCAACAUUAAAGACUAAAGUUAAUUUGAAGUCAAUCUGACGUGAUCAGCCUGAUGGCUCCAUAUUGGCACAUAUUUAUUUACUCAGACUGGUAGCUCAAAUCCACAAGAAACUAAACCUAUGUGUGCAAUUUUCCUGACACUCUGAUCCCCACUUAAAAAAAAAAAAAAAAAAAAGAAGAGAGAAAUAUAUGUACUUUAAAAAGAGAUUCACUCAUUCCCCUCGCUCUCUGCUUUUACAGUCGACUCAGUUCCAGAUAUUCACAUAGAUGAGGUUGUUAUCGUGCUGCGUUUAAUUGCGUUUAAUUUUUCUGCUGUCCCCAGUCGCUCUGCGUAGAUUCAGGAAACUCAGAAAACGCAGUUUGUUUGUUUUUUUCAAUGCAUAGAUAACUGACUAUAACCUCAUGGUAUCUAUGCACCAAACCCCCCUCCCCCCCAAAAAAAACUUGUGUUUUCUGAGUUCCUUGCAACCAUAUGUGGAGAUUGGGGAGAGGACAGAAAACACACACGAUAACUACAAGUACAAACACACAUGUACUGUACAUGGAUGACGUCAAGCUGCAUAAAAUUUUCGCCAGUACUACCACGUUGUCUGAUCUGGAGUAUACAUACCUAUAUUAGGUAGAAAAAUAGAAUAAAAAAGCAUGAAUUCUCAUGUCUUUCUCUCAAUCUCUCUGCCUCUGCUUUUAAGGAGAACUUAGUCCCAGGAACAGGAAAGCUGCAACUUCACCUACGUAGAGUCACAAAUUCACCUGCUCAAAUGCAGUGACAAUGAUCACUAGACCGGCAAAGGUUACUAACACAGACCAAAGGCAGAAAGAUGAUGACAAGAGGAAAAGAGGAAAAUGGAACUGAGGGACUGGUAAAAAUAUGAAGCAGUUUUUUUUUCUUUUUUUUUUUUGCUGUUUUUUUUUAACAACUUUUCCUGUUUUUGCAUGAACAGCCAGAUGAAAGAGCAUGCAAAACUUGAGAGAUUACAGAAAAUACAACAUUCAUUUUUAUAAUUCAGUGAUUGUCAUUUAAAAUGCAGUGUCAUUGUUUAUUCUUCACAUGUACAACACGCAUGUUAACCACCAUGGACAAUGACUUCACUCAGCUCAUGACAUUUGUGUUCCAACACUGAUGUGAAUUGCAUGUUUUCAUUCAGUCAUUUAAUUUGAGUAGGAACUGUCUAUUCUCUCCCCCUCUAUUUUUGAUUAAAAAUAAACCAGACUUUUGUUUUCAUGUAAUUUGUGGGUGUGUGUCUGUCAUAUGUGCAGGCCAGUCAGUGUGUGGGAUGUUUUGUGGGUGGCAUAUUUAGCUCCUUAUGCCGAGCUGAGUCCAGUUCUGGCUCAGAGAUUAAAUGUGGUUUAAGCAGAAAAACUUGCUAAAUGUCCCCACAGACUUAAAUAAUGCUUCAUUUUAUCCUCGAAACAAAAAAUUAAGCAAGAACAGCUAUGUUGUUUGCUCACAUUAGCAUGCCUAAGCAAAGUGAUAAAUAAAAAUCAUAAUGAAUUUUCGAAAUAUAAACAUAUGAUAAAUCACUACACAUAUCGGUCUGGGUCACAUAUUAAGUCUCCAGGUGCCAGCUGCUCAGUCAGCUUCUCAGUCUUCCCAGUUUUGUUGCUCAUACACUCCCUCGUGUGUCCUGACAACAACAUUAUUUUCCUCCUCGUUAAUAUCCCGGCGUGUGUCUGAAAUAAAUCCUUGAAGUAU